rnacentral:rRNA from 1 species
UUAUUUGAGAGUUUGAUCCUGGCUCAGGAUGAACGCUGGCGGCGUGCCUAACACAUGCAAGUUGAGCGAUUUACUUCGGUAAAGAGCGGCGGACGGGUGAGUAACGCGUGGGUAACCUACCCUGUACACACGGAUAACAUACUGAAAGGUAUGCUAAUACGGGAUAAUAUAUUUGAGAGGCAUCUCUUGAAUAUCAAAGGUGAGCCAGUACAGGAUGGACCCGCGUCUGAUUAGCUAGUUGGUAAGGUAACGGCUUACCAAGGCGACGAU